AAAAUUCAGCAUCUGUACUUCAGAGUUCCACUGGAGAAGUGGCUGACCUCAAAAUGUAUUAGAGAUCCCAUUGCAGUUAAAGGUCGAUGGAUUCAACAAUGUGCAGCAGCCCUUCAAAGAAUACAGACUGUGGUUUCCUCCUGGGAUGACUUCACCAGGACCCUUGGCAACAGUGCUGGUGGAAAGUGGAAAGAAACAGUUACAUGAGCCAUAGAUGGCAGAAACAGUAGAUAGAACUCACAUUUAGGCAGCAGGUAUAUGAAGCCCUGAAACUCCUUGGGAUCCCUAUGUUCAAAUGCCAAAGCAACUGUGACCAACUUUUGCCAUAUGGCAAAAAAAGACACUCUCUUGGCCUCCUUUUUCCACCAGCAAUGGAAAAGAAAAGAAAUAACAAUAAUAAAGAAAGAAGAGGUUGGUGUUUUCAUAA
rnacentral:lncRNA from 1 species